GUGCGCUGGCUUCGGCAGCACAUGUACUGACACUGGAACGGUACAGAGUAGAUUAGCGUGACCCCUGCGCAAGGAUGACACGCAAAUUCGUGAAGCGCUCCAUGUUUUU